GACCCGCCCCUUCUGCUGCUGGCCCCGCCCCCGCUGGCUCACUUGGCGCCCUAAGCAGUCACAGCAAUACCUUGUCUUCCACCUCCUGAUAUUACCCAUGGAGCCCAUAAUGGUCAGAGUGGACAAGAGUUUUCCUUUGGCUCAGCAGUAACUUACAGAUGUAACCAGGGCUUCUCUCUUGUUGGAGAGGCCUCCAUUUAUUGUAUAACAAAAGAUAAUGUCAAUGGAGAAUGGAGUGGGCCUGCCCCUGAAUGCAAAGUGGUUAAGUGUCCAGAGCCAGAAGUCAAAAAUGGAAAAAAGCAGGCUGGGUUUGGAUCUGACUAUUCAAAUGGAAACACCGUAAUAUUUGAAUGUGAUUCUGGCUACACUCUGAAUGGUAGCAGUUCAGUUAAAUGUGAAGCUAACAAUUCAUGGGUUCCAUCUUUGCCCACCUGUCUACGAUACAUGACUGAUGCUGGCUGAUGGCUAUGGUUUACAAAUUAACAGACAUUGGAAGAAAAACAUGGAAAAGUUAGGAGAUAAAUGUCAUACGUUUGUACUGAAAUUUCUGUAGUGAAAAUAGACCCCUCUCAGGCAACUGGUGUUACUUUCACUACAACUUCUUUCCUCUGUUGAGCUGGACUUGUAGUAGGAAUCCACUGCAUUUGAGUAAAGCAGAAAGACAGGAGGUGGAUUAUUGCUCUUGCUUGCUUCAGAAGCCAUUUUCAAGGGCAAGGCAGUUGGCAGCAUCAAAAUUACUUGCUCUUCUGAAUAUGCAGCUGGUUCCUUAUUCAGCCUCUCCAUAGUGCUAAAUGUUUCCCCUUAAAGAACAUAGUCACCAUCAAAGCGUGGUAUGGUUUGGAUUGUGAGUUGUGGCUUUAACUGCAGACAGCAAGAGAGACUGUUCAGAUCCCUACCUACAAGCUGCCAUCAUAGAGUGCGUAUUACUCUUUAAACACAAAUUUAAAGAUGCCAGACACUAGGUGGAAUGUUGUAAAUUCUUCAUAAAAACAUCCAUACUGGGGCAGACCAAUGGUCCAUCUAGCCAGGUGCUUCAAAGGGAAUGAACAGGGCAGUUAUCGAGUGAUCCAUCAACCCCUGUCAGCCAGGCCCAGCUUCUGGCAAUCAGAGAGUAGGGACACUCGGAGCAUGGGGUUGUAUCCCUAGCUAUCGUCCAUGAACUUCUCAUUCUUUUUGGAAUUCAAUUAUAGUUUUGGUUUCAUGUGACCUUUCUUCAAAUUUACUCUCCAUUUACAGAUUUCUUUCUUUAAAGUAAUAGUACAGAAAGAAGCCAACUCCCCUGUUUACAGCUCUGUUUGCUGGCUCCUAUGCCGCUGCAGCUGUCUGAAACUAUAAUUGAAGAUACCGGUUAUUUAUUUGGAAUAGGCCUUUUUCUUAAAUAAAAGGGAUACUGACUAAA